ACACACAGCAACAAGUCACAGGUGAAAAUGUUGUUUGAGGUAUCAUGUGAUGCUACUAGCAUAAAUGGACCAACACUGAGCAAAUGUAGCUUAAGUCAAAUGGAAAUUUAAAACACAGGGGUCAGAGUAAUAUUGCUGGCACAUAGAUAUAAUGCUAAAUAAAUGCUUGCCAUCACCCCAGUUACUCAAGUCAGGUCAUAGACCUCAACUCCAAGUAGGAGCCACCAAAACAAUACAGAGGACACAAGUAUUACAGUUAAUGUUUAUUUGAGCUAAAACAAGCAAAUGCAGGUACACACUGGACUAGAGUACCCAUGAACUCUGCAUGUCCCACGUCAGAUAUCCAUGGCGUCGUCGCCGGACGGGCCGGUCGCAGCUUCAGAGGUGGCGUCGUCGCCAGACGGGCCGGCCGCAGCGUCAGAGGUGGCGUCGUCGCCAGACGGGCCGGUCGCAGC